UCCCUGAUAGCUCAGUUGGUAAAGAAUCUGCCUGCAAAGCAGGAGAUCCCAGCUUAAUCCCUGGGUAGGGAA
rfam:Ovis aries breed Texel chromosome 1, whole genome shotgun sequence.